UACAGAGGUCCCAAGCGUUGUUCGGAUUCAUUGGGCGUAAAGGGUGCGUAGGCGGCGCGGUAAGUCGGGCGUGAAAUCUCGGAGCUUAACUCCGAAACUGCAUUCGAUACUGCCGUGCUUGAGGACUGGAGAGGAGACUGGAAUUUACGGUGUAGCGGUGAAAUGCGUAGAUAUCGGAAGGAACAUCAGUGGCGAAAGCGACUUCCUGGACCAAUACUGACGCUCAUGUGCGAAAGCGUGGGGAGCAAACAGG
rnacentral:rRNA from 1 species